AAUUAUUUUACUGUGGAAUUUCUUAUUCACGGGUAUCCGGAAAACUUGAUGUUGUGCAUAAAUGUUAUUCUCAGACCACCGAAAGUGGAAUAUGGAAUGCUCCUGAUUUCUCCAAAACGUUAAAGCCGCGUUCGAGUAUCUUGAGAAGAGCAAAUGAUGAUAUGUCGCGGUGGUUACCGGUGAGUGAAGGGUGGUAUUGGAUCAAAAACGCGAUUGGAAAAUGGAUCGAAGGGUGGAAAGGUUGUAUGUGAUGUGUUUAUGAUGGUUGGCGGUGUUGUAGAUCGGAGAAGGGAAGAGUUGAGUUUUUUUUCCGAAGGUGAAGAUCGGAUCGGAGGGAGUAUGAUGGACGACAGAGAAGGGUGUUGGAUGGUGGAGAAGUUACAAGGCAGAGAUUUAGUGGCGGUUUGAAGUUUGAAGUUUUAGGUGGAGAUAAGAGAGGAAGUGUGUGGUC
rnacentral:lncRNA from 1 species